rnacentral:lncRNA from 1 species
CACGUUUGGUAAUUAAUUCCUAACACUCAAAGCUAUUAUCACUCCCUGGCAGUGGCGCCAAAAUGUGAUUGCUCGUUUUACUUAUUCUGGAAGAAACCUCCCAGUAUAAAUCCGUAUAGGGGGAUUCGAAUACGGAGAAUGACUAGUUGCUUAAGCGUUCACGUUAGGGUCACACAAUCAAUUACCUCCUGAAUGUAUCGUCUCUAUUUCCAAUAUCUGAACACAUAAAGAAACUAUAAUCUCCUCCUUCACCUUAUCGGUCUCUUCCUUACAGCAAUUCAGUCAUACCAAUAACUAUUAUUUCCACCAAUAUAUUCACCCUCAUAAUCUCCAACUGUAAUACUGUGCCCUCACAGCUUUUAGCACACAAUUACCCUCGUUCCAAUUACUGGAAUUCUUCAUACAGAACUGCCAUUCACAUUACAGUGUUUUACACAAAUACAAACUCAUUCUCUCUGCUAAACUACAAUCAGAUUUCAGCAUUCAAUCUUUCUUCUUAUCAAAUAAUAUCAAUCACAUUUCCAUUCCAUAAUUCACUUCACAAUAUUCAGAAACUUUUAAUCUUCUUAUUCAAAGAAAAUAACAAAUAAAAGAAAAGAAGUAGCACCAAGCUUACCCCGGCUCACAACUUUCACAAUCUGCCUUUUCUUCUCCUCUCCCAUCCUCCUUAUACUACCCUGAGAUACCAACUCCUAUACUACAGAUGAUAACUACUUUUCCUAACUAUUCAUCUAUUCUACCU